GAGUGUGUUUCAUCACGUCGCGAUGUGGAGUACAGAAUCCCACUGGGAGUCCUUCAACUGGGAGCAGUACUCAGUUUUACUCAGUUUCAUAAUGGAAAAGAGCUGUUCACAAAUGACCGUGUUGCACUGCAGAUCAAUUACCUCCAUCUGCAGCGCUUCCUGGACGCUCUCGAUCUUCAUGGAGAAAGGGGAGCUGAACAGGAGAAGUUUGAAAUAACAGAGAAGGGAAUGAGCACAGAAGACGUAUGAUUUCACUGCUGUGAGUCCCAGAAGACACCGGUGAUAGCCACAGACCCUCACAGAACUUACUUGUUUUCAAUGUAAAGAAAUGGGCCACGAUGCAGCAAGCGCCAUCGGAUUGUUAUAUGAGAAAAAAAUGCCUGGAACUCGAGCCACAGAAUUAGAGGGCUUUAAAAGAAGCAGGGAAAACAAAAUGCACAUAAAGAGCGGCAUGCUCUGCUCUUCCUGGUGGUGAGUUUCCACUGAGACAGCGCACGUGGCACAGCAGGGGCUAGGACCAUCUUCUCUCCCCCAGGAUACUCACCAUUGCUGAGUUCAAGGCCGGGAAGUGGUCUGAAGAGAAAGAGACAUUGGGAUCGAAUGCGGGGCCUCGCCAGUGAGAGCACUGAGUCCCAACCACUGGACUGCCAGAGAAUUUCCACAAUAAUAAUUUUUUAAAAAGGAAAUGAGUGCUAAGAUGACCAGUACCGAUUUGCCAAGAGGACAAGGGCUCUCAGAAGUGGAAAACUACUCCACCUUUUGAAUCUGGGCCUGGCCAUGUGACUUGCUUUGGCCAGUGGGAUGCAGGGAGAGGCUUGAAAAGUGCUUGUGCAUCAGCGUCUGCUGUUUUUGGAGCAGAGUUGCCACGUGAAUGAGCCUGGAGGAUGUGAGACCAAGAGGAGAGGUAGGCCCAACUCUGGCAGCUGAGGCCUCGGCCCCAGGAGUGAGGCCAGCCCAGACCAGAAGGACGGCCUGGCCAACACACAGAAUUAUCAUGUAUCUCAGAAGCACAGGAACGGUCACACAGCCCAGACCACUCCUGAGUCCCACAACGCCUGGCCUGUGGUUGGUGCUCAGAGACCAGGAAGUCACUCCAGCAUCCUCACACUCCUGUGCACAUGGACAAGAGCCCGUGGUUCAAUUCCUUGCCCACUUGAAGGUAUGUGGCCGCGUGCCUUGCCUUGGCCAAGGAUGUCAGGGAAAUGACGUCACUUCCACGCAGAGGUUCCUGCCACACUCCUUUCUCUGCAAUGGAUCCGCCACGUUCCAUAUGGUUGGGUUCUAGAUUGAGGAAACUGUGGAUCAGACCCACAGCCAAUCACAAGAGACCUCUAGGGCAAGAAAGGAAUAAAUCCUUGCUCCUUGAACGCACCAAAAUCUGGUGGUGUUUUUAACCAUCGCCUACCCUAGCCAAUCUGGAUGGAUAUAGCAGGCUGAAAAGGAAUUCUAAAAAUAUAACUACUCAUCUAUCUAGAUCUUCUGAAGACACCUGAGGAUCCUUGAGGAUCUCUUAAGUUAGAGCUGAGGUCUUCCUGAGAAAGAAAGAACGUAGACUAGCAUGUACAGAGCCAUUAGGAUGCAAAUUGUUUGACUUAAAAUUUUUUUAUAACUUUCCCUAUUAUGAAAUAGAACAUGAGAGUGUGACAUCAUACCAGGAACAUAAAUUAACAGGCAAGACCUGGGCAUGAACAGGUGAGGAAAUAUACUUCAAUUUGAAGAUUUUAUUUUAUUUAUUUAUUUUAAAAAAUAUUUAUUUACUUAGGCACGCUGCGAGGCUUGCAGGAUCUUAGUUCCCCGACCAGGGAUCGAACCCCUGCCCCCUGCAGUGGAAGCGCGGAGUCCUAACCACUGGACUGCCAGGGCAGUCCCAAUUUGAAGCUUUUAAAUAAUUAUCUUAAUAUCAAGACUUUGACACUCUUUGACACUUGUUAUCACACCCAUAUUUGAGAACAGAUAGAAGUCUGUGAAUGUUGUUUGUCGUAACAAGGACUCUAUUCCCACAGAGCUGGAGUCAGAAAAAGCAGCAAAAGCAGCACCACGAAGGACACGUGUUAAGUCUUAGAAACUCUUUCCUCUAGCAUCUCGAUUCCAUGAUCAUCACUUAGUACAGCAGGCCGAAGAAAUGGGUAUCACAAAGUAUGAAACAGCAAAGGCACGCUAUUUUUGCCACUUACCAGACUAUGCACUUAGAUUAUGCCCUAUCCUGAUUCUUUGGGAGCUCAGAAUAUUUUCAUUCAUAAUUCUUAUUUUCCCUUUAUUAUCCCAGACAGAGAAAAAGGAGCAGAUGUAUUCUCAGGUUACAAACAUGUUGAUUUGUCCAUGAAAAGCUAGAUGCUGGGCAACUUCCUGCCUACUGCUGUUUGCACUUCUCACCUUCAAUGGCUGUAGAUCUGUUAUGUCAAUCACAUUCAGUGUGUGUUAAGAAAUGGGAGGGACAUCAUACCAACAGCCCAUGGGGAUGCCACAGGCGAGGAGAGGUCCUAUUCAUUACCAGAACUUUUCAAGAGCAUCUUAGUACUUUUUGACGGUAAGAACGCUGGAGGGGACUGAGUCCCCUCAGGCUUGAUGCGGAAGGAUGCAUUUCAUUUGGGGCUUUCUGCUCUCUAGAAACGGCUGUAUCUGGAUUACAACAGAAAUUCACUGAACUGUUCUUUGCCUGUCCCAAGAGGUCAUUUCCCUGAAUAGUCCUUUUUUUUAAAAAAAAAAUUUAUUUAUUUAUUUGGCUGUGCCAGGUCUUAGUUGCGGCACACGGGAUCUUCGUUGCCACGUGCAGGAUCUCUUUUUAGUUGCAGCAUGCGGAAUCUUCAGUUGUGGCAAUGUGGGAUCUAGUUCCCUGACCAGGGAUCGAACCCAGGCCCCCUGCAUUGGGAGCGCAGAGCCUUAGCCACUGGAUCACCAGGGAAGUCCUCCCUGGAUAGUCCUUAGUCAACGCUGUUCAUGGAACAUUCCCUGCACCCCUAACCCGGUGGCUGCAUCCUCUCCUGCUCCCUUUGCCAGAAAGAAACUGCUAUCACACAGUGGCAUUAACAGUGAACACCAGAGGACACACCAAGUUAGGCUGGUGACGCAAGCUUACAGGGCAUGAGGCAUGAUGGGCUGGUCCUCACAGAAGCAGGGGCCAGGAAAGCCAGGUUGUGGGUUCCCCAGACCACCAACCUGUUCUGGGACCCCAGUGGGCAGCGGCCCUCAGUUUCCUCCUCUAUGACUAAAUCAAUCACUUACUAUGAAGGUUCCUUUCACCUCUGAACUUCUAUGGGCCCCCUCGUUUUAAAAUCAAGGGAACCACAUAUUGCAUGAGUCUAUGCAUAUGAAAUGUCCAGAAUAGGGAAAUCUAUAGAGACAGAAAGUAGAUUAGUGGUUGCUUAGGGCUGGGAGGUGGGGUAGCUAAAGGGUACAGGGUUUCUAUUCAGGGUGAUGAAAAUGUUCUAACAUUUACUGUGGUGAUGACUGCCCAACUCCAUGCAUAUAUUAAAAAAACCCACUGAAUUGGGGGUUUCCCUGGUGGCGCAGUGGUUAAGAAUCCGCCUGCCAAUGCAGGAGACACGGGUUUGAGCCCUGGGCCGGGAAGAUCCCACAUGCCGCGGAGCAGCUAAGCCCACGCACCACAACUACUGAGCCUGUGCUCUAGAGCCUGCAAGCCGCAACUACUGAGCCCACGUGCCACAACUACUAAAGCCCUCGCACGUAGAGCCCGUGCUCUGCAAAAAGAGAAGCCACCACAAUGAGAAGCCCGCUCACCGCAACUAGAGAAAGUCUGCGCACAGCAACGAUGACCCAACUCAGCCAAAAAUAAAUAAAUAAAUUUAUAAAAAAAAAAAAAAGAAUUCUGAUUAAAUUACUUCACAUUAAAAGGUCCAGCUUGAAAUAAUUUUUAUUUAUGCAAAAUAUUGGCAAAGCUAGAAUUUCACUCCAAUUUCUUUUCUUUAUAUUUACGUGUCAGCUGCAUUACUUGUUGAAAUAUUAAAAUAAUUUUCCCAUUGGAAGUUACAGAAAUCUCACAAAGAUUUUUAAAUAAGCUUUCAAAUAUAGUGAAGAUGUGUUCAAUUUUUAUCUAAAAUAAAGAAAA